GUCUACGGCCAUGCCACCCUGAACAAGCCCGAUCCCAUCUGAUCUCGGAAGCUAAGCAGGGUUGGGCCUGGUUAGUACUUGGAUGGGAGAGCACCUAGGAAGACCAGGUGCUGUAGGCG
rnacentral:rRNA from 1 species